UACAGAGGGUGCAAGCGUUAAUCGGAGUUACUGGGCGUAAAGGGUGCGUAGGUGGGUGAUUAAGUUGGAUGUGAAAUCCCUGGGCUUAACCUGGGAAGGUCAUUCGAUACUGGUCAUCUAGAGUACUGUAGAGGGUAGUGGAAUUCCCGGUGUAGCAGUGAAAUGCGUAGAGAUCGGGAGGAACACCAGUGGCGAAGGCGGCUACCUGGACCAGCACUGACACUGAGGCACGAAAGCGUGGGGAGCAAACAGG
rnacentral:rRNA from 1 species